CUCCUUCGGGAGNNCAUUAAUGGCGAACGGGUGAGUAACACGUGGGCAAUCUGCCCUUCACUCUGGGACAAGCCCUGGAAACGGGGUCUAAUACCGGAUACGACCUCCGACCGCAUGGUCUGGUGGUGGAAAGCUCCGGCGGUGAAGGAUGAGCCCGCGGCCUAUCAGCUUGUUGGUGGGGUGAUGGCCUACCAAGGCGACGACGGGUAGCCGGCCUGAGAGGGCGACCGGCCACACUGGGACUGAGACACGGCCCAGACUCCUACGGGAGGCAGCAGUGGGGAAUAUUGCACAAUGGGCGAAAGCCUGAUGCAGCGACGCCGCGUGAGGGAUGACGGCCUUCGGGUUGUAAACCUCUUUCAGCAGGGAAGAAGCGAGAGUGACGGUACCUGCAGAAGAAGCGCCGGCUAACUACGUGCCAGCAGCCGCGGUAAUACGUAGGGCGCAAGCGUUGUCCGGAAUUAUUGGGCGUAAAGAUCUCGUAGGCGGCUUGUCACGUCGGAUGUGAAAGCCCGGGGCUUAACCNCGGGUCUGCAUUCGAUACGGGCAGGCUAGAGUUCGGUAGGGGAGAUCAGAAUUCCUGGUGUAGCGGUGAUAUGCGCAGAUAUCANGAAGAACNNCNGGUGGCGAANGCGGAUCUCUGGGNCGAUACUGACNCUGAGNANCAAAAGCGUGGGGAG
rnacentral:rRNA from 1 species